AGAGUUUGAUUCUGGCUCAGAACGAACGCUGGCGGCAGGCUUAACACAUGCAAGUUGAGCGGGAUUAUGUUGGUAGCUUGCUACUGAUAUAUGAGAGCAGCGCACUGGUGAGUAACACGUGGGAACAUACCUUUUUGGUGGGGGACAACAGUUGGAAACGACUGCUAAUACCGCAUAAGCCCUGAGGGGGAAAGAUUUAUUGCCGAAAGAUUGGCCCGCGGAAGAUUAGGUAGUAGGUGGGGUAACGGCCUACCUAGCCAACGAUCUAUAGCUGGUCUGAGAGGACGAUCAGCCACAUUGGGACUGAGACACGGCCCAGACUCCUACGGGAGGCAGCAGUGAGGAAUAUUGGGCAAUGGAGGCAACUCUGAACCCCCAGCCAUGCCGCGUGAGUGAAGAAGGUUUUCGGAUUGUAAAGCUCUUUCGGACGUGAAGAUGAUGACGGUAGCGUCUAAAGAAGCCCCGGCUAACUUCGUGCCAGCAGCGGC
rnacentral:rRNA from 1 species